rnacentral:rRNA from 1 species
GAUGAACGCUGGCGGCAUGCCUUACACAUGCAAGUCGAACGGCAGCACGGGUGCUUGCACCUGGUGGCGAGUGGCGAACGGGUGAGUAAUACAUCGGAACGUACCUUAUCGUGGGGGAUAACGCAGCGAAAGCUGUGCUAAUACCGCAUACGCCCUGAGGGGGAAAGCGGGGGAUCGAAAGACCUCGCGCGAUUAGAGCGGCCGAUGCCUGAUUAGCUUGUUGGUGGGGUAAAAGCCACCAAGGCGACGAUCAGUAGCUGGUCUGAGAGGACGAUCAGCCACACUGGGACUGAGACACGGCCCAGACUCCUACGGGAGGCAGCAGUGGGGAAUUUUGGACAAUGGGGGCAACCCUGAUCCAGCAAUGCCGCGUGAGUGAAGAAGGCCUUCGGGUUGUAAAGCUCUUUUGUCAGGGAAGAAACACCGGCUCUAACACAGUCCGGGAAUGACGGUACCUGAAGAAUAAGCACCGGCUAACUACGUGUCAGCCGCCGCUGUAA